GAGAACAGAAAAGUAGAGAUAGAAAGAACCCACAAAAGAAAUCAGUGACCAUGUUUGUGAAGCAAAGGAAGGUUCUAACAACUAAAAAGGACAGGUUGGUGCACAGUUCUCCUACCAAUAUGGGGUCUAAAGAGAGUCUAUAAGUGCUGCUAAUGUUAUGUUUGUCAUUUGCUACAACUAUUAUAUUUAUCAGUUGCGGCCAUUGUUGUAAUAUUCGCCUUCCACUAGUGCACUGGAUAGGAUAGAAUAACAGGCAAGAUAGGAGAGAUAAAGUUCUUUAAAAUACCAAACCCAAAAAGCAUCAGCCCCUUCCGUAGCCAAGAAAUCUUGAUUUCAUGAGUUCACAGGUUGCUCAUGAAAAUGACCAGAAUCAGUUGUAAUAUGCUGGAAAUAAUGAAAGAUUGGGCUUCAGCCAAACUCACUGAGAUUUGCUGAUCUUUGUGAGGACCAACCAAUUACAACAGGUGAAGACUCGUUCCCAAAGGAGAGGAUCGGUAGGCUUGUCACUAUUAAGGGCCAACUGCAGUAGCCGGAGGAGAAGGGCAGGAGAAUAGGAAGAAGAGUGGAUCACACCAAUCUAGUCAUUGCUUGCUCGAUGACUUUUUAGUGCAGGGCCAUUUUAAUUUAAUUUUCUAUGAAAAAAUUAUUAGUUUACAUGACCUUUUGCAAAAUUGUCAUAUGGCAACAUAUUAUAUGAUUCUACACUAGUUAUAAAGUUUACUCAGCAAGGAGCAAAUAGGGUGCUAAACAAAAAAGGAGCAUCUCUAGACUAGAUUGGAGAUUCUAACAAAAAAGGAUGGACAUCAGUCAUGCGAUCGAUCGGAGAUUCCAAGUCCAUUGAGGAUUUAAUCCUGUAAUAAGUCUCAUCAUGAUUGAAAAAUAAAUAUUUUACCAAAAAAUCUACAAAGUGCACAAAUCCCUAAGAAUACUUAUUAAAGUGCACAAAUCUGGGAGGAGAUUCCAAGUUUUAUUUCCCACAGUCUGAGAGGUAAAAGGUCACAUCCCUAAGAAUACUUAUUAAAGUGCACAAAUCUGGUACUUAUUCCUGAUGGUGUAUAAUGAUCAUCCACAUAGGUAAUAGGUGGAGCUAUGAAAACUUCAUACAUGAGAGUUAAUCUUUGAGCCAGAGUGAGUUAUUUACAAUUUCUCACUUUUGUCUUCUCCAAUAUCUUCUCAUCUCCAUUCAACAACUACCAAAUUCUCAAAAAAAUGAAGUAUUCUUUGUUCCAAGAGUACUCCAAUUCAUCUGCCCUACAUCAGAUUUGGUAUCAUAGUCACUUGUACUACAUUAGAUUGACAUCAAAGCAAUGUUUACAUCAUAUUGGAACCAUAACAACUUAUCCUAUAUCCUUCCCACUUACCACCAAAAAGCUAUCACAUCUUCAUUGCGAGCAAUACAACACUACGCCUCAUCCACUAUUGUAAACACUGCCAGUCUUGAAGAAAGAUGUAGCAUGAGAGAUGUCUGAAUAGUAAGGCACAAGGUUUGAUGACUAAUCCAUAUGACUACUUCUUGAUGCUAGUGCCAGACUCUUGAUUCUUUAAAACCUUAUGUGACAUUUUUGUACAAGAAAAACUAAGAAUGUUAUCAAUUUCAUUUAAUAGUUCAAACAACAAUUAAAUACUUUAUUCCCAUCUUUCUUGUCCCUUUCACACAAUUUUUAUGCAGAAACAUCUAAA
rnacentral:lncRNA from 1 species